rnacentral:rRNA from 1 species
ACGCUCGACACCUACUGGAGGCAGCAGUGAGGGAUAUUGGUCAAUGGGGGAAACCCUGAACCAGCAACGCCGCGUGAGGGAUGACGGUCUUCGGAUUGUAAACCUCUGUCCUCUGUGAAGAUAAUGACGGUAGCAGAGGAGGAAGCUCCGGCUAACUACGUGUCAGCAGCCGCGGUAAUCUGAGCGGGCUGGCAAGGC